rnacentral:rRNA from 1 species
UACAGAGACUGCAAGCGUUAUUCGGAUUCACUGGGCGUAAAGGGUGCGCAGGCGGUCGGGUGUGUCAGAUGUGAAAUCCCGAGGCUCAACCUCGGAACUGCGUCUGAAACUACUCGACUAGAGUACUGGAGAGGGUAACGGAAUUCACGGUGUAGCAGUGAAAUUCGUAGAUAUUCGCAAGAACACCAGUGGCGAAGGCGGCUCACUGGCCCGGUACUGACGCUGAGGUGCGAAAGCGUGGGGAGCAAACAGG